rnacentral:rRNA from 1 species
UACGUAGGGUGCAAGCGUUGUCCGGAUUUAUUGGGCGUAAAGAGCGUGUAGGCGGCUUUACAGGUCCGUUGUGAAAACUCGAGGCUCAACCUCGAGACGCCGGUGGAAACCGUAAGGCUAGAGUCCGGAAGAGGAGAGUGGAAUUCCUGGUGUAGCGGUGAAAUGCGCAGAUAUCAGGAAGAACACCCGUGGCGAAGGCGGCUCUCUGGGACGGUACUGACGCUGAGGCUCGAAAGCGUGGGGAGCAAACAGG